rnacentral:tRNA from 1 species
GGAUGGAUAGCGAAGUGGUUAAACGCUCCUGACUGUAAAUCAGGCGGUUCUGCCUUCGAAGGUUCGAAUCCUUCUCCAUCCA